rnacentral:lncRNA from 1 species
GGGCGUAAAAGGUUUAAUUCAUCAUUUCUUUGCCACCUCGAUUAGAGGUUUUAAGCCUAUUCCUUCAAGCUGCAUGAGUCAUAUCAGAAAAUAUGAGAAAUCAACAUCCUGAAAUAACUUGAAUUGAGAUUUGUUUAAUGGUGGGAUGGAGCAGUAUCUCACAAAGUGAAAGCUUUUUAUUAACACUGAAGAAAAUACAACCAUCAUCAGGCGGAACGAAGUCAUGAGUAGAAGCCAGGGAGGCAUGAAAGAAAAAGUCUUGUGGCACCCACACCGAGAAGAUGCUAAGCAGAGAUGU